UACAGAGACCUCAAGCGUUAUCCGGAAUCAUUGGGCGUAAAGCGUACCGAUAGGUUGUUUUACAAGUCAGGGGUGAAAUCUCAAGGCUCAACUUUGAGACUGUCUCUUGAAACUGUAAAACUAGAGGGGUAAAGAGGAAGCUGGAACGAACGGUGUAGUAGUGAAAUGCGUUGAUAUCGUUCGGAACACCGAUAGCGAAGGCAGGCUUCUGGGUACCACCCGACACUGCUAGGACGAAAGCGUGGGGAGCAAAUGGG
rnacentral:rRNA from 1 species